GCAUUAAUGGGGUAGUGGUAACCUGGGUCGUUGCCAUUUCAGGCUUGCUGUUUCUGGGUAGUUUUCUCGACCCGCCGGGGGUUCGAUUCCCCCCUUAAUGCA
rnacentral:tRNA from 1 species